rnacentral:rRNA from 1 species
UACGGGGGGGGCAAGCGUUGUUCGGAAUUACUGGGCGUAAAGGGCUCGUAGGCGGCCAACUAAGUCAGACGUGAAAUCCCUCGGCUUAACCGGGGAACUGCAUCUGAUACUGGAUGGCUUGAGUUCGGGAGAGGGAUGCGGAAUUCCAGGUGUAGCGGUGAAAUGCGUAGAUAUCUGGAGGAACACCGGUGGCGAAGGCGGAUCUCUGGGCCAUUACUGACGCUGAGGAGCGAAAGCGUGGGGAGCGAACAGG